CGCCUGCAUCGGUCAACAAGGAAGUGUGGGCCACCAUUCUGGCUCUGCUUUGGCUUCAUGGUUUCAAGAUGGAUGCUAAGGAAGAGUGGGAGCUUCUGGCUAUGAAGGCUGUGUCUUGGCUCAAGGCUCAGAAUGCACCAUGUGUGACAGACUGUGUGGAAGCUGGGAAUGCACUGUUACGAUGCGAGUUGCAGAAAAUCGCCCUGGGACUCUGAGACUUUCAACUGGCAUAUGUUUAGGAUUGGUACACUGAAGCUUUGCACCAUCCUACAGUGUUUAUUGCAGUUUUAUCUACAUUGCACUUAAAUUUUUGCACUGUAUUUUUAUCAUACAGUCAUUUUGUUAAACUCCAUAGAGAUGAACUGACAUGGAAAAUAGUCAGGUCUGUUUUUGUGCCUUUUCAUUCUUGCUAUAUUUACAUCUAAUCAUAAAUGAAAAACUCCUAAAAUCUUUCCACAUGCCUUUGUUGGAAGAUUAAUUUUUUUAAGGUUCUUCUGGGAACAGUUAAAAUUAAAUACAGUCUCAGUGAUGUGAUUUGAAUGCAACGUCUCAGCAGUUUUCUUUGAAAGUAAAUGACAACACUGGCAAAGUCUUAUUUUCUCCUUGUCAAUUCAGACAUGGGUGGAGCCAAGGGGUGGCCAAAGGUGGCACUGGCAAGCCCCAGAACCUGAAUGGCCACCCCUGGUGUCACUCCUGCCAAAGUCAAAAGGCUUGUUCAAGAUGAGCUGCCCCUCGCCUGGUAAGCGGAUGAGAACGGGCAGUGGCAGAUGGGGGUGGUGGCAAAAAGCCACAGUCACGACGGACAUUUUAGGAGCUAGG